rnacentral:SRP_RNA from 1 species
GCCGGGUGCAGUGGCGUGCGCCUGUAAUCCAAGUUGCUGGGAGGCUUAGGCUGGCGGAUCGUUUGAGCUCAGGAGUUCUGAGCUCCAGUGGACUAUGCCGAUCGGGUGUCCGCACUAAGUUCGGUAUCGAUAUGGUGCUCCAGGGGGAGCCCGGGACCACCAGGUCGUCUAAGGAGGGGUGCACCGGCCCAGGUCGGAAACGGAGCAGGCCAAAGCCCCCGUGCCGCUCAGUAGUGGGAUCGCGCCUGUGAAUAGACGCUGUAGUACAGCCUGAGCAAUACAGCGGGACCCAGUCUUUU